UUACUUUAUUAAUAUAAAGUCAGCUAA
rnacentral:tRNA from 1 species